rnacentral:rRNA from 1 species
UAGGGAAUCUUCCGCAAGGGGCGAAAGCCUGACGGAGCAACGCCGCGUGAGUGAUGAAGGUCUUCGGAUCGAAAAACUCUGUUAUUAGGGAAGAACAAAUGUGUAAGUAACUAUGCACGUCUUGACGGUACCUAAUCAGAAAGCCACGGCUAACUACGGGCCAGCAGCCGCGGUAAUACGUAGGUGGCAAGCGGUAUCCGGAAUUAUUGGGCGUAAAGCGCGCAUAGGCGGUGGUUUAAGUCUGAUGUGAAAGCCCACGGGUCAACCGUGGAGGGUCAUUGGAAACUGGAAAACUUGAGUGCAGAAGAGGAAAGUGGAAUUCCAUGUGUAGCGGUGAAAUGCGCAGAGAAAUGGAGGAACACCAGUUGCGAAGGCGACUUUCUGGUCUGUAACUGACGCUGAUGUGCGAAAGCGUGGGGAUCAAACAGG